GAAGGGGCCGGCGGGAGCUGCUCUGGGCUCGGCGGUCGCCGCGCCCGCAGUCUGGAGGCGCCCAGGAGCGGCCGGGCGCCCCCCGCGGGAGCCCGCAGCCACCCGCCGCGCGCAUCCAGCCGCGCUCCUCCGCCCCGCACGCUGCGCCCCGGGGCUCCGCGGACCCUGCGUCGCCGCUGAUUCGGAGCUGGUGCAGCGCGGGCUGGCCGGCGGGGCGGCGAGGCGAGGGCCCGGCCCGCCUCCCCUGCGCCCGCCCCGGCUUCUCCCCCUGGCGGCGGAGCCUCGGCGGCCGCCGGCCACACCGGGCGCGCUGGAGCCCGAGCCGAGCCGAGCCCGAGCCGCUGCCGCCGCGCGCGGCUCCCAGGCUCCCUCCCUGCGCGCCGGCCGGGGUGUCGGGGGGCGGCGGGCCGGAGGGGCGAGGGCGGGCGAGGGGCGCGCACGGGGAUUGGCACCGAAGAUCGGACCCUCAGCCGCGAGGGGAGCCCAUACAGGAGCGCUGCACCCCAACUGAGGAGCACGUGGCGGAAGGAAGAGGAGUGGACCCCUGGCCAUUUGUUUACUAUUUAUCCUCCCAUCGGCAGCUGUACUUUUCUACUCGCUGGAAGCAAGACGCCUAAGCUGAGGUCCAAUUUCUCCAAAAGCUGGAAGCAAAGAGGGCCAGUGAUGAGGGGGCGAGGGGAUGUACCCCAAAGGGGCCUGAAACUCGAAAAACCUCUGCAAGAACAGGGGUGACUGGAGGUUCAGGACCCCAGCUAAGGUGAAACGGAAAUUCAACUUUGCCCCUCUCCUCUUGCCAUCCGUCCCCACCCCCACCCCCAACUCUAAGGAAGCUAACAGGUCUUUUGUUUUUGUGUUGUGUCGCCUUUGGAAAAUUUGCAUUGAGUAUGACAACAGAAAAUUACUACUGUUUACUCAAAGUGUAAGGGGACUGCAGAAAGGGAAAAAAAACCAACAACAAUAUAGUCUUUACUUUUUCUCCUCGUGUGUGUGUGUGUGUGUGUGUGUGUGUGUGUGUGUGUGUGUGUGUGUAGUUGUUAGGUUCAGGGCUUGAACUGCAAAACCUCCGUUUGUAACAAUAAGAAUUGCAGAGCCGCCUCGGUGUAUUUUUAGAAGCUGCACUUUCUUGAGUUCCUUUCACACAAGGCUUGCUCUCUCAUUAAGCCCCCAUAAAUAAUUGUAUUUACAAAGAAGGGAACUAUGGUAGCAGGAGGGCGAUUGCUAAGAUCUCCAUCUCGCUAGCCUGGAACACACUUUACAGUGAAGUUCCUGGAAAGUGACUGUGGGCUGAGAAUUCAGCUUUUUCCUAAAAGCUCUGUUAGGUCCUCCCUGUCAAAUGUCUAUGAAUAAAGCACACUGGGAAAAUCCUGACAUCCGUGCAGUCUUAUUUUAUCUUACACAGUGGCGGAUUCUACUUUCAAGCCCUGGUAACAAAUACGUCAACUGUGCUGUAUUUUGGUGUGGGUUUUCUAAAUAAAGGAGAGUCGCCCAUGUAUUCA